rnacentral:rRNA from 1 species
GACGAACGCUGGCGGCGUGCUUAACACAUGCAAGUCGAACGGAAAGGCCCUGCUUUUGUGGGGUGCUCGAGUGGCGAACGGGUGAGUAACACGUGAGUAACCUGCCCUUGACUUUGGGAUAACUUCAGGAAACUGGGGCUAAUACCGGAUAGGAGCUCCUGCUGCAUGGUGGGGGUUGGAAAGUUUCGGCGGUUGGGGAUGGACUCGCGGCUUAUCAGCUGGUUGGGGGGGUAGUGGCUUACCAAGGCUUUGACGGGUAGCCGGCCUGAGAGGGUGACCGGCCACCUUGGGACUGAGAUACGGCCCAGACUCCUACGGGAGGCAGCAGUGGGGAAUAUUGCACAAUGGGCGGAAGCCUGAUGCAGCAACGCCGCGUGCGGGAUGACGGCCUUCGGGUUGUAAACCGCUUUCGCCUGUGACGAAGCGUGAGUGACGGUAAUGGGUAAAGAAGCACCGGCUAACUACGUG